rnacentral:lncRNA from 1 species
UGGUAUUUGUAGGAGACUUUGGGGAUACUUGGGAUACUUUCUGAGGGAUUAAGGAAGGUAGAGGCUGCCUUUUUAUACAGUGUGGCUGUAAUUCAGACUUACAUAUUUUGCUUAAGGCUGAAAGUAAAAAAGUAGAGGCAGAGUUACUAAGGAAAAGCAAAGGAGGAAGAGCACUUGAUAACAAAAAUAAUUUUUGGGGAAUGAUAUAUGGAGCUUGUAAUUUAAAAAGCAUGAUUUGUGAAUGAGCCAUUUCAAGAGGGGAGGGGAAUCCAUUUCAAGGUGCAGGGGAAUGCAAAACAAACUAGAUCAUGCACUAUAAUACAUGCACUUCAAAUUCUGUUUUUCUAGAGUUGCUUUCUUCUGACUAAGUUCAAAAACUACAGUGUUUUUCCUGUGAAGACUUCAUUAUAUAUGACAAUGUAAUUCAUCAAAGAUUCCAGUGACUAGAAUGAAAAUGCAGACCAUCAGUGCAGAGCAAGUGCAUGAAGAUCUCUGAUGCACAGCAGAGCAAGUUUUGCAGAAGUCCUUAUGAAUGAUACAUCUCGUAUGGGAGAGAAAAGAAAAAAAGGAAAUGGCCUCCCCAAAUCAAAACAUCAAUAGUUUCAUCCUCUGAUCUGAAACAAUUUCUACAGGGACAAGGUCAGUGAAAUUACAUACUUUCUGUACUUCUCUCCAGCUGACAAUCUGCUGGUUAUAAUGCAAGAACACAAGGGCUCAAAUAGAUUUUUCUGACAUGGUGUGCCAUCUGGCACAAAACAGUCUUACAAACGCUGCUUCCCUGCUCUGCUUUUGCAGAUCUAGUGAUGG